AUGUGCGACCGAGCCAGACCCCGACCCCGACCCCGCUCGCCUUCUUCUUUCUUUCUUCCUGCUCUCUGCCUCACCGUCGCCUGCGCCCGCCAUCGCCGGCCGCCACAGCACGCCGCCGCAGCCAUGGUUCUGGAGGACGAGAGCAGCGACGACAACUCAAGCCUCCCGUACAUGCACUCCGAAACCUCCACCGAUGGGCUGAACCAGGUGCCUUUCUCUCUUGAGGACCCGGAUUACAAGGGUCUUGAGCUAGAUCUGAUAGUGUUGUGCGAGAAGCAUGGGAAGCCAUCAGAGAGGCUUGUUGCGUUUGAAGGAACAAUGACUGGGAGAAGGUUCUUAGCAUGUGCAGAGCCGGAAGGUCAGAAUUGUGGGUUUGUUCAGUGGGUUGAUGAGCAGUGGCCCCCAACAAUGGAGAAUGCAUUGCUGAAGCUUUGGUCAAUGGUUGAAGAGAGCAAGUCUGCUAGGGUGAAUGAUAAUCUUCAAAGUGCUCUAACUAUUCAUCAGUUGACAGAAGAAAAGAACAAGCUGGAUGCAGACUAUCACAAGUUAGUGAAAGAUGUGCAUCAACUUGUGGACUUUCAGCAGGAUAGGGUUGUGGAUUUCAGUUAUCUGCAGUCUGCUGUCACAUAUCAGCACCAAUGCAGAGCUGAAUUGGUGGCUGGUAUGAAUGCAGAAAUGGCAAAGAAAGAUGCAGCUGCACAGAAGCUUCAACAAAAGUAUGAACUCCUGUGCAACCUGACAAGUGCUCAAGCAACUGUCAUCCAAAACUUGAAGUUGAAGAAUAUGAAAGAGAAGGAAUUGUUGAGUGAGGCUAGGAUGAAUUUGGAGUUGAAGAAUGCAGAGUUCACAAAGUUUGAGGAGAAGCUCACCCAAGAGAAGCUAGAGUUGAAGCUCCAGGUUGCUGAUCUGCUGAAGCUCAAGGAAAACCAUAAUGAAGAGAAGCAGAUGCAAGAGUUUAAGAUUACUGAGCUCAUCAAGGUAGAGGAGAAGCUGAAGGAGAAGAUCAAGGGGAUCCAGGCCAUCUUGCAGAACUGA
rnacentral:rRNA from 1 species